rnacentral:rRNA from 1 species
UACGUAGGGACCAAGCGUUGUUCGGAUUUACUGGGCGUAAAGGGCGCGUAGGCGGCGUGGUAAGUCACUUGUGAAAUCUCUGAGCUUAACUCAGAACGGUCAAGUGAUACUGCUGUGCUAGAGUGCGGAAGGGGCAAUCGGAAUUCUUGGUGUAGCGGUGAAAUGCGUAGAUAUCAAGAGGAACACCUGAGGUGAAGACGGGGUUGCUGGGCCGACACUGACGCUGAUGCGCGAAAGCCAGGGGAGCAAACGGGG